rnacentral:rRNA from 1 species
AAAACUUUCAACAACGGAUCUCUUGGCUCUGGCAUCGAUGAAGAACGCAGCGAAAUGCGAUAAGUAAUGUGAAUUGCAGAAUUCAGUGAAUCAUCGAAUCUUUGAACGCACAUUGCGCCCGCCAGUAUUCUGGCGGGCAUGCCUGUUCGAGCGUCAUUACAACCCUCAGGCCCCCGGGCCUGGCGUUGGGGAUCGGCGGAAGCCCCCUGCGGGCACAACGCCGUCCCCCAAAUACAGUGGCGGUCCCGCCGCAGCUUCCAUUGCGUAGUAGCUAACACCUCGCAACUGGAGAGCGGCGCGGCCACGCCGUAAAACACCCAACUUCUGAAUGUUGACCUCGAAUCAGGUAGGAAUACCCGCUGAACUUAAGCAUAUCAAUAAGCGGAGGAAAAGAAACCAACAGGGAUUGCCCCAGUAACGGCGAGUGAAGCGGCGACAGCUCAAAUUUGAAAUCUGGCUCUCGGGCCCGAGUUGUAAUUUGUAGAGGAUGCUUUUGGUGAGGUGCCUUCCGAGUUCCCUGGAACGGGACGCCAUAGAGGGUGAGAGCCCCGUCUGGUUGGACACCGAUCCUCUGUAAAGCUCCUUCGACGAGUCGAGUAGUUUGGGAAUGCUGCUCUAAAUGGGAGGUAUAUGUCUUCUAAAGCUAAAUACCGGCCAGAGACCGAUAGCGCACAAGUAGAGUGAUCGAAAGAUGAAAAGAACUUUGAAAAGAGAGUUAAAAAGUACGUGAAAUUGUUGAAAGGGAAGCGCUUGUGACCAGACUUGGGCUUGGUUGAUCAUCCGGGGUUCUCCCCGGUGCACUCCUCCGGCUCAGGCCAGCAUCAGUUCGCCCUGGGGGAUAAAGGCUUCGGGAAUGUGGCUCUCUCCGGGGAGUGUUAUAGCCCGCUGCGUAAUACCCUGUGGCGGACUGAGGUUCGCGCAUUCGCAAGGAUGCUGGCGUAAUGGUCAUCAGUGACCCGUCUUGAAACACGGACC